CCUACGGGGGGCUGCAGCUAAGAAUCUUCCGCAAUGGGCGAAAGCCUGACGGAGCGACGCCGCGUGAACGAAGAAGGCCGUGAGGUUGUAAAGUUCUUUUCGGGAGGGGGAACGAGGCUGCCAGGCAAUGGGCGGCCGAUGACGUGAAUCCCGGAAUAAGCCCCGGCUAACUACGUGCCAGCAGCCGCGGUAACACGUAGGGGGCGAGCGUUGUUCGGAAUCAUUGGGCGUAAAGGGCGUGCAGGCGGCCGCCAAAGUCCGGCGUGAAAGACCCAGGCUCAACCUGGGGGGUGCGCCGGAUACUGGGCGGCUUGAGUACAGGAGGGGACGGCGGAAUUCCAGGUGUAGGGGUGAAAUCUGUAGAUAUCUGGAGGAACACCGAUGGCGAAGGCAGCCGUCUGGCCAUGUACUGACGCUGAGGCGCGAAGGUGCGGGGAGCAAACAGGCUUAGAUACCCCGGUAGUC
rnacentral:rRNA from 1 species